CAGGCGUCAGGGAAAAACGCGGGAGUGUCUGGAGAAACGGGGGAGUGGCUGGCCGAACGCAGGGCGUGUUUGUGACGUCAAACCAGGAACUAAACGGACCGAGCUGAUCGCAAUCUGUGAUGAGAUAUGCUGGAGCCCGGCCGCAAACAGUCACCUGUGGAAACAGCUCCCCAUCUGCGAUGAUAACCGGCGUCACACGCUGCAUUGACCAAUCCCGUGACAGGAUUUCAGCUGUCAGAUCAGGAAUUGAGGCAGUCCCACCAAAGUUGAGACCGUUUGGAGUUAUGGCUUCCUGUCUUUACAUUGUGUUGUAACUUUGGUUACCAAAGCCCACAGCUGGACAGAAGUGGCGUGAGUCCAUCCAUGGAAUUUUGUCCCUUUAGAGAUCUUUUCAAAAAGUAUAUGACUCCAGGCAGCAGCAGAGAGAACGAGAGUGGAUAAAAUGUAUUU